rnacentral:rRNA from 1 species
UGGGGAAUAUUGGACAAUGGGGGCAACCCUGAUCCAGCCAUGCCGCGUGAGUGAUGAAGGCCUUAGGGUUGUAAAGCUCUUUCGCGCACGACGAUGAUGACGGUAGUGCGAGAAGAAGCCUCGGCUAACUCCGUGCCAGCAGCCGCGGUAAGACGGAGGAGGCUAGCGUUGUUCGGAAUUACUGGGCGUAAAGCGUGCGCAGGCGGCCCGAUUAGUUGGAGGUGAAAUCCCGGAGCUCAACUUCGGAACUGCCUCCAAUACUGUCGGGCUUGAGCGGAGGAGAGGAGAGCGGAAUUCCCAGUGUAGAGGUGAAAUUCGUAGAUAUUGGGAAGAACACCGGUGGCGAAGGCGGCUCUCUGGCCUCUUGCUGACGCUCAGGCACGAAAGCGUGGGGAGCAAACAGG